GGGGAUCCGAAAUCUGAACGUCAAUUUUCAUGAUUAUUUCAAGACGAAGAUCAUCACAUCAAUGAAUCAAAUAAUACGGACAUGACUUUGGUAUUAGCAGGGUGCUGGCACCAUAUGCAACAAUAGAUCUACUUUCAUCUGUGAAUACAUGUACCCACUUGCUAAGCCCACCAUGAACUACGAAGGCCAAUUAAUAUGUAAGGACACCAGUUAACAGACACUUUCCAAUUAUCGUACAUCAUAUACAUGGGUGGUCAAACUCACUGGAUGGUUUAUCAACACUCCCAUGCUCAUGAACAGCCUUGCCCCAGGAAUUUUGCCCUGAGGUAACAUUGCAGUCUAUUGUCUCCAUUCUUUUUACAACCCUGGCAGCCAUGCAGGAUAGAAGCUGAUCACUUGUACUUGACAGCAAAUAAUAAUGUCUUGGACAAGUCAAAGAAUUUCCUCCAGUCUUACAGAGAAAUGACAGUUGAUAAAAGAAUGGUGGACACAAAGUAAAAGUGCUCUUCAACAUUUUGUUGAAGAUUUCAGUCUGACUUUGAAUUCAUCUUGCAAUAUUUCUGGAUUUG